CGACCGGCGCACGGGUGAGUAACACGUAUCCAACCUGCCGAUGACUCGGGGAUAGCCUUUCGAAAGAAAGAUUAAUACCCGAUGGCAUAGUUCUUCCGCAUGGUAGAACUAUUAAAGAAUUUCGGUCAUCGAUGGGGAUGCGUUCCAUUAGCUUGUUGGCGGGGUAACGGCCCACCAAGGCAUCGAUGCGUAGGGGUUCUGAGAGGAAGGUCCCCCACACUGGUACUGAGACACGGACCAGACUCCUACGGGAGGCAGCAG
rnacentral:rRNA from 1 species